rnacentral:rRNA from 1 species
UACGUAGGGUGCGAGCGUUGUCCGGAAUUACUGGGCGUAAAGAGCUCGUAGGUGGUUUGUCGCGUUGUUCGUGAAAACCGGGGGCUUAACCCUCGGCGUGCGGGCGAUACGGGCAGACUUGAGUUCGGCAGGGGAGACUGGAAUUCCUGGUGUAGCGGUGAAAUGCGCAGAUAUCAGGAGGAACACCGGUGGCGAAGGCGGGUCUCUGGGCCGACACUGACGCUGAGGAGCGAAAGCGUGGGGAGCGAACAGG